CCAAGUAACCAACAAUCAAUCGUGUUCAUUGACAUCGGAAUAAAUAAAAAAAAUUAAACUAGAGCAUGCACUGGUUACUACAAAACAAGUGCCUGAGUCGAUGCUGUAGCAAGUAUCGUGAUGUUUGAAAAGGUUGCACCAACUGAAAAUGCAGAUGGCAUAUUUUUCCUCAACUAUCGAUAGCAAAGAUUUGAAAAUAUUUAUUUUACUUUUUCGUAUUUUACUGAUACAUGGAAUUAUAUUUCAAGUUUACAGUUUUCAAGUUUAUAGUAGAUGCAGUCUAUUUGUAUUUUAUAAAGAUGAUAAAGCCAUAAUUCAAAAAGUAGAAGACUUGAUUCUCCAUUAUAUUGUCCUUGAUCCUCGAUUUACUUACAGCCGUUUUGGUGGUAAUAAAUAUUAUGUACAUGGUUUAAUCUCAAUUGUUUUAACACUUUUUUCACGUUUUUGUUAUUGAUCUGAGUAAAGUUCAGUUACAUAAUUUAUUUGCAGUAUGUCCUUUGUCAGUAGAUAUUUUUCUGCACAGCCAGUUACUAAAGUGUGAAAUGAGUAGAUUGUUGUGUAACACCUAUAUGGUCAUGUGAUCAAAAGGUUAGAAUUUGAACCGAUAUAUGGUCAUGUGAUCAAUAGGUUAGAAUUAGAAGCCAAAUCAGUUUAAAUUGAUUUUUACUUGGACAAAGACCUAGGUAUUUUUAUGCCCCACCUACGAUGGUCCACUGAACAUAGAAAAUGAAAGUGCAAAGUUCAGGUUAAAGUUUUUGGUCAAGGUAGUUUUUGAUGAAGUUAAAGUCACAUCUACUUGAAACUUAGUACACAUGUUCCCUAUGAUAUGAUCUUAUUAAUUUUAAUUUCAAAUUAAAGUUUUGACCCCAAUUACACUGUCCACUGAACAUGGAAAAUUAUAGUGUGAGUGGGGCAUCCGUGUACUAUGGACACAUUCUUGUUUCAUUAGAAUAUUAGGGGACAUGAAAUAUGUUUGAAAGAAUUUUAAGGCAAUUAAUUGAUUCAAUGUGAUCUGUGUUGGAUUUUAGAUUUUAAAAGUUCCAGAAAAUUACUUUUGGAGAAUUGAAUGAUUUCACUAAUUUUUCAUGUUGCAUGUGAAAUUACAAUAUGAUGACUUUACCCCAUUUCUUUAAGUUUAUUGAUUUAUUAGAGUUGUUAUGUUUUCAAGCUUUUACUCUUGUAUAAACAUCAUCGAACUGUAACUAUAAGUUCUGUAACCAUGGUAAAAUUCAUGAUUGAUUGUGGGUGCAUAACCCCCUGUGGCAAAUAUAUCAUGCAUUUCAAGUUAAAAGAUCCAUGUAACUUGACCAGGUAUUGCUUCCAAAUAGUAUCUACCUACAACAACAGGAAUAGGGGACACAUUCAUGUAUAUGUCUAGGAGACUGACAGUGUACCAACUGAAUUUGUUGGCAAUACCUUCUGAAUACAUUUUUUAUAUAAAAGU